rnacentral:rRNA from 1 species
UACGUAGGGUGCGAGCGUUGUCCGGAAUUAUUGGGCGUAAAGAGCGCGUAGGCGGUCCGAUAAGUCGGCUGUGAAAGUCAGGGGCUCAACCCUUGGAAGCCGGCCGAUACUGUCGGACUAGAGUCCGGAAGAGGCGAGUGGAAUUCCCGGUGUAGCGGUGAAAUGCGCAGAUAUCGGGAGGAACACCAAUGGCGAAGGCAGCUCGCUGGGACGGUACUGACGCUGAGGCGCGAAAGCGUGGGGAGCAAACAGG